GCGGAUGUAGCUCAGUUGGUUAGAGCGCUGGUUUGUGGUACCAGAUGUCGAGAGUUCGAAUCUCUUCAUCCGCCCCA
rnacentral:tRNA from 1 species